AUUUUCACAGUGCAUAACAACAUUAGAUCAUCUGAUCGAGAUGUGGUGUGGGGAGUUGCAGGUCUCCACACACUCGCGAAUUUGUCUAACCUCCUGGAUAGCAUACCCAAUACAUCAGGGUUUCUAAGAAAUAACGAGAACGGGAUCUGUGCUACGGCUACUCAACACAACGAUGGUAGAUCUGGGAUACGCAAACCACUCUGUACGUAAAGGUGAUUUUACUGACGAGUUACAUUAAAGUUAAUUAUUUAUAAGAUAAACAACUGUGCUAUGGUAUUGCAGCGGAUUUGUCUAUCCUGGUGGAUAAUAUACCCCACACGACACGGGGUGGCCAUGGAUCACACAAAAGACAGAGAUCCAUUCAGGCCGUGAUUCACACACCAAGGGGCCAGCAUACAACUUUACGAAAUACUGAUGCAAAGAGACAACGAACGGUUCAG